GCCGAAGUGGUGAAACUGGCAGACACGCAGGAUUUAGGUUCCUGUGCCUUCGGGCGUGAGGGUUCAAGUCCCUUCUUCGGCA
rnacentral:tRNA from 1 species